GUAGUGUCUCUGUUGCCCAGGCUGGAAUGCAGUGGUGCAAACAUGGCUCACUACAGCCUCAACCUCCUGGCCUCAAGCGAUCCUCCUGCCUCCACUUCCUGAGUAACUUUGGUCACAGAGACACGGUUUCCCUAUGUUGCCCAGGCUGGUCUUGAACUCCUGGUCUCAAGUGAUCCUCCUGCCUUGGCAAAAUGCUGGGAUUACAGAGCUGCCGGCUUCCCCUUGAAGGAAUAGGAGUAGACCUGCUGAACUAUCACAUGAGAGAAGAGGCCCAAAAGCUUGCACACUACAGUCAAGCUGGCCCUUAAAGAGAUGGACCUAGAAGAUGCUGAGCCAGAUGUACUCAAUUACUUCUCCAAAAUUCAUCAAUUAGAACUGCUUCUUGCUGCCGCCAUAUGAAGAAGGACGUGUUCGCUUCCCCUUCCUCCAUGAUUGUAAGUUUCCUGAGACCUCGCCAGCCAUGCUGAACUGAAUACAACAUGUUUAAGACCACAGAACAUCUGCAUAGGCUGUAAAUUUCGUUGAAUGAUGGAUGCAAAGAUGGAAGACAGAUGGAUAGAGGAAAAGACAGAAUCAGAUACUGGAUGAGUUAGUACUGCUGCCUGUGCUUCAGAGCUGUCUUAUUACCACAAGGCCGGCAAGCAUCAAUGUCCCCACAUCCCCCUCUGCCUCCCCCUGAAAUGUACCGAUUUAUAUGAAAAUUAAGAUUACAAAUUAAAGCCUGGCUAUCCUGGAGUUUUCCAGUUCAUCAGCCAUCCAAUAAAAAUGAUGUCAAGCCUGUAUGCAUAAUUCCCGGAAGAUUACUUUCGUCCUUACAGCUAAGCCCUGUCCCUGAUAUGAAAGAUCUCUAUCCACUUUUAUUGAAAUAAAGAACUAACAUCAUAAUCCCAAUAUUGAGGUAUAAUCUUCAUUAUCUCCUGACCCUCUUGAGGUUCCCCCAAUCUAUAUUACUUCAGAUUUGGUUUAUGUGUAAUCCUUAUGUAUUUACUUUUAUUGAGAUAGGAUUAAAAACUAAAAAAAAAGCUUCAA
rnacentral:lncRNA from 10 species